rnacentral:lncRNA from 1 species
UCACUUAUACCACCAUGCUCUUGUUUCCGCUGCACAAGUAUGCUAAUUUUUUUUUAUCGGUUCACCUAUAAAAUUUGUUAUUUAGGUAGACCUCUAAUACUUGGAUUAUUCUGUUUGUAUCAGUGUGAUUUUAUUUCUAUGGUUGGUUGCCUUGAAUACUAGAGAAAGAGAAAUGAAAGUAGGCGCUUAAAACACUUUUAUGUAUUAGAAACUGAGAGAGAAAAGAACGGAAAUACAAAAAUUGAAAGAAAAUGGUUGUUCUCUUAAUGAUGGGAAACCUUGAGAGGAAAAUGUUAGCCUGUCUAUCUAUGCCCAUUAAUAUAUUUUCAAGUGUUGUUGUCUCGGCCUAAUGGCUUUAUUCUAUGUUUCUGGCAGGUCUUACUAAACCUGUACCAGAGUUGAGCAGUGGAUCUACCCAACGAGGAGGAGAUGGUUUCAGGUGCUGUUGCGGUGGAUUGUUUUUGCCUAAUAGUGACAAAAAAGAAGCAAGUAAUAAGAUUCAGGAUCAUGAGGAUAUAUCAAUCAUAAGAAGCAAGAAACUUCACAGUCAUGGCUACCAGAGGAUAGGACCUUUUUAUCUUUAUCAUUAGAUUAUUAAUUUUUUGAUUUCAAGCAGAACCAUGUAUCCCCUGUUUGAACAUUGAGCCAAAGUUAUGGUCUUCUCUCGAGUCGAGAGUGUUGUGUCCAUGUCAUCAUGUUUCCUCCACUCGGCAGAGUUGUCGCUGAUCCGGAUCGUGAUGGAGUUAAAAUAAACUCAAUCCUCUGCAAGCAAUACAUACAACUACUUGUUUGGCAGUCGUCAAAUAUGUUGUGAAGAAAGUAGAUAUUUUUAAUUUUGUGUUACAUUUUUAAGCAUGAUGAUAAAGUGGUAGGGGUUUGAGUGGCUUCAAAAUGCUAUCUAUAAACUAGUCAUUUUUUUGCAGGAAUGGUAAUUUCCAAGGGGGAGGGACGUUAUUGUCUAUUCAAGUCCAAGAAACUAGUGGAGUGGAGUGGUUAACUUUAUAAUAAGGAAAUAAGUGGUCCCUUUCUUUCUUUUAAGUCAAUACAUUGGCCUCUCUUUCCCGUACCAACUCUGAUUUGUCUUAAACGGCCAUUAUUUAUUUCUUUCCUUUUCCUUUUCCUUUUCCUUUUCAUUUUCCUUGUGGUUCUGGAUAUACAUGCAUACUAUUUUGAACCUAACCUAUGCGUCAAAGUAAGACCGAC